rnacentral:rRNA from 1 species
CCUGAUUCCAUCUCGAACUCAGAAGUGAAACGCACGUACGCCGAUGAUAGUGUGGGGUCUCCCC